rnacentral:RNase_P_RNA from 1 species
AGUCAGCCGGGCAAUUGCUGUUUUGCUUCUUUAUUGAAGUGGGAUGGAGGAAAGUCCGGGCUCCAUAGAGCAGGGUGCCAGGUAACGCCUGGGGGGUGUGAACCCACGGCAAGUGCAGCAGAAAAUAAACCGCCUGACGCAUUUCGAUGCAGAGGGUAAGGGUGAAAUGGUGCGGUAAGAGCGCACCGCGCGACUGGUAACAGUUCGCGGCAAGGUAAACCCCACCCGGAGCAAGGCCAAAUAGGAAUCCGCUAAUGUUGCUCGCAUUGGAUUCGGGUAGGCCGCUUAAGGCCUGUGGCGACGCAGGUCACAGAUGAAUAAUUGCCUUCGACAGAACCCGGCUUACAGGCUGACUCAU